AUUGAACGCUGGCGGCAUGCCUUACACAUGCAAGUCGAACGGCAGCACGGGUGCUUGCACCUGGUGGCGAGUGGCGAACGGGUGAGUAAUACAUCGGAACGUACCUUAUCGUGGGGGAUAACGCAGCGAAAGCUGUGCUAAUACCGCAUACGCCCUGAGGGGGAAAGCGGGGGAUCGCAAGACCUCGCGCGAUUAGAGCGGCCGAUGCCUGAUUAGCUAGUUGGUGGGGUAAAAGCCCACCAAGGCGACGAUCAGUAGCUGGUCUGAGAGGACGAUCGGCGAGCCUGGGACUGGGACAGGGCCAAGACUCCUACGGGGGGCAGCAGUGGGGAAUUUGGGAGAAUGGGGGCAACCCUGAUCCAGCAAUGCCGCGGGAGUGAAGAAGGCCUUCGGGUUGUAAAGCUCUUUUGUCAGGGAAGAAACACCGGCUCUAACACAGUGUGGGAAUGACGGUACCUGAAGAAUAAGCACCGGCUAACUACGUGCCAGCAGCCGCCGUAA
rnacentral:rRNA from 1 species